GAGACAAAAUUGACUUUUGAGAGACAAAAUUGACUUUUGUGAGACAAAGUUGACAACAUUGAAUUUUGUCUCACAAAAGUCAAUUUUGUCUCACGAAAUUG
rnacentral:sRNA from 1 species